rnacentral:lncRNA from 1 species
AACGCACCAUUAAGAUUGCAGGGCCUGGAGGUUCGGGGUGGCCCAUUACAUGUGGUGCUAAGCAAACAGAGUAUUUGGUUCAUUUGGGGAAUAAUGAUUUUUGUCAUAUCCGAACUGCCCAGAACGAUGAAAUUGAUUGUCGUCAAUAUCUUUGUAUAACCACGUUUCAAAUUGUUGUUGGAGAAGGAGGAAGUUGUAUCAAGACCUUAGAUUCAACUGUUUUUCAUGUGGAUGUUAGGCACUCUGGUACUUUCUAUAUUACAUUCAGCUUCGCACCGUAAGUUUCCUUCACGUUUUUGUGUUUUCAUUUAUAACAUUUGGGAUUCUCAUAUAUUUUGUAUGUAACAUGGUUUAUGAUUAUUUUGACUAAGUGAGUGCGGGGAUUUUGAACCUAAAGAAGAAGAGGAGAGUGUAGAAACAAAGUGCAAGGUAAGUUACCAUCCUCACAUCACUUGUAAUUAAAUUACUUGGAGAUAUUUUAAAAGGGAAAAGGAAAAAUAUAUGGGAGGAAGAAGAGUUUCUCGAUGCCUAAGCUACCUGCAGCUGUGAUACCUGAAUAUAUUUUUUUGUUUCCAUUGGGAAAACCGAUUUGAUCUAGGUCCUUUAUCAGUCAUGUCAAAUUUUUUGGUACAGUUUGGGUGAUUUGCUAUGUGGUUUUUUGUGCCCUCAUCGGCCAACAAGGGCACAAAAACUGUCACAAGUGCAAGAAGCGUGUCUAUAUGAAAUCUUUUCAUUUAUAUAAUGACCAUGAAUCUAGAAACUCAAUUUUUUUUGCAUGUAUGUAAGUGUUUUUAAUCAGCCUCUGAAUCUUUGUUUCGCAGAGACAAGCUGUCGAGCAUGAAGUAUUAAAGCAGAAAAUAGCAAGCACGAAAAAGCCAAGCAUUUCAGAAUAUGGGUUGUAUUUGUUGAACCAAAGACAGA